rnacentral:rRNA from 1 species
UACGUAGGGUGCAAGCGUUAAUCGGAAUUACUGGGCGUAAAGGGUUCGUAGGUGGCCCGCUAAGUCAGACGUGAAAUCCCUCAGCUCAACUGGGGAACUGCGUCUGAGACUGGCAGGCUCGAGUGCAGGAGAGGAACGCGGAAUUCCAGGUGUAGCGGUGAAAUGCGUAGAUAUCUGGAGGAACACCGGUGGCGAAGGCGGCGUUCUGGACUGUUACUGACACUGAGGAACGAAAGCCAGGGGAGCAAACGGG